GCCUACCAUGACAGUCGAACGGUAACAGGAAGCAGCUUGCUGCUUUGCUGACGAGUGGCGGACGGGUGAGUAAUGUCUGGGAAACUGCCUGAUGGAGGGGGAUAACUACUGGAAACGGUAGCUAAUACCGCAUAACGUCGCAAGACCAAAGAGGGGGACCUUCGGGCCUCUUGCCAUCGGAUGUGCCCAGAUGGGAUUAGCUAGUAGGUGGGGUAACGGCUCACCUAGGCGACGAUCCCUAGCUGGUCUGAGAGGAUGACCAGCCACACUGGAACUGAGACACGGUCCAGACUCCUACGGGAGGCAGCAGUGGGGAAUAUUGCACAAUGGGCGCAAGCCUGAUGCAGCCAUGCCGCGUGUAUGAAGAAGGCCUUCGGGUUGUAAAGUACUUUCAGCGGGGAGGAAGGGAGUAAAGUUAAUACCUUUGCUCAUUGACGUUACCCGCAGAAGAAGCACCGGCUAACUCCGUGCCAGCAGCCGCGGUAAUACGGAGGGUGCAAGCGUUAAUCGGAAUUACUGGGCGUAAAGCGCACGCAGGCGGUUUGUUAAGUCAGAUGUGAAAUCCCCGGGCUCAACCUGGGAACUGCAUCUGAUACUGGCAAGCUUGAGUCUCGUAGAGGGGGGUAGAAUUCCAGGUGUAGCGGUGAAAUGCGUAGAGAUCUGGAGGAAUACCGGUGGCGAAGGCGGCCCCCUGGACGAAGACUGACCUCAAGGGUGCCAAAGCGUUGGGGAGCAAACAGGAUUAGAUACCCUGGUAGUCCACGCCGUAAACGAUGUCGACUUUGGAGGUUGUGCCCUUGAGGCGUGGCUUCCGGAGCUAACGCGUUAAGUCGACCGCCUGGGGGAGUACGGCCGCAAGGUUAAAACUCAAAUGAAUUUGACGGGGGCCCGCACAAGCGGUGGAACCAUGGGGGUUUAAUUUCGAUGCAACGCGAAGAACCUUACCUGGUCUUGACUUCCACGGAAGUUUUCAGAAAAUGAGAAUGUGCCUUCGGGAACCGUGAGACAGGUGCUUGCAUGGCUGUCGUCAGCUCCUGGUUGUGAAAAGGUUUGGGGUUAAGUCCCCCAACCGAGCGCAACCCUUUAUCCUUUUGUUGCCAGCGGGUCCGGCCGGGAACUCCAAAGGAAACUGCCCUGGUAAACUUGGGGGAAG
rnacentral:rRNA from 1 species